rnacentral:antisense_RNA from 1 species
ACAAACACCAGCUGGAAAAGGCAGCAACGUGGGGUCUCUCUCCCCCUCAGCCAAAGUGAACUGUGUCAGCAGGUGUCUCCCAGCUGCUGAGAAUGAGCCAAGGGACCAGGAUGGCCGCCUGGCUCCUGCAAGUGGAGAGGGUCUCGCUGGGGCCUGAACUGGCUGAGGUCUUGCAGCAGGAAGGGGACGCUGGGCACUUAGCCCCCUACAGGGAGCCCAGAGCCAGGACUGAGUGAAGUUGCCUUUGGAAGGAGGUGGAGGAGUGUAUUGAUCGGGAUCCAGCUGGACAGGUCCCUGUGAGCCGGCCUGGGUGAAGGUGUCUUUGGGAGGAGGCGGAGGAGUGUAUUGAUCGGCACCCAGCUGGACAGGUCCCUGUGAGCCGGCCUGGGUCCUUGGUGGGUGGGACAUGUCUACAAAUAGCUCGUCACGUCUCCAAUCCAGAAGUGCUGUGUCGUUUCAAAAAUGAGCGGAGCCAACGCAGCCACCAGCCUGGCCUUGGCUACCUGGGCAAGGCUGCCGGCUCGUGAAUAUUCACGGCUCCGAUGGCACCUCCGAGCCUCCUAACCAUCCGGAAUUAAAUCAACGAGCUUC